rnacentral:misc_RNA from 1 species
GCUGCAGUAGAAGACCACAAAGCAUAUUGUCACCUUAAAAAUGAUCAACAUUAAAAGAAUGUGUACCAAACUACCAAUCAUUUAUGAUAAUUUUCUUCCUCACUGUCUUAUAUUGAUCUUGAGACGUUUUAAAGGAAACAAAAGAAAUGUUUAUAAAAUUUAUUGACAGGAAAUUAUCAUAAAAUCAACUCUUCACAUCGAAUGCACUUAGCUGUGAUUAUGAAAGUACAUAUCACUGUAGAAUAUUAGUUAAAAACAGCCACAUGAAGCCUUUGUCUUUGUGUCAAGAAAAGAGAAAAAGAAGAAGUCGAUAAAACUGCAAAGCUUACUCCAAUUUUAAGGAAAAGCAAUUAUAAAAUCAACUCUUCACAUCAAAUGCACUUAGCUGCGGUUAUGAAAGUACAUAUCACUGCGAAAUAUUAGUUAAAAACAGCCACAUGAAGCCUUUGUCUUUGUGUCAAGAAAAGAGAAAAAGAAGAAGUCGAUAAAACUGCAAAGCUUACUCCAAUUUUAAGGAAAAGCAAUUAUAAAAUCAACUCUUCACAUCAAAUGCACUUAGCUGCGGUUAUGAAAGUACAUAUCACUGCGA